rnacentral:lncRNA from 1 species
UGGCUGCCGCCUGGUGACAAUGGCCGUAUGAGCCCCACCAUGGCCCACUGGAAGCGUCAGAGCACAGUGAGCAGCCUGCUGGACCACAGGGUGAGACCGGGCCUGGAGCCCAAGAGCAAGGACGUGGAGGAACUAGCCCUGGAAGAGUACAUGCCCACUGGACUGGAGCUAGUGGCCCUGUGGCCUGAGAGGCCGUUGCCUGCCCAGAAGGGCGGCCCUGAUGGGUACUUUGGCUCCAACUAGAGUAAACAACACCUCGGAGGAGGAGGACUAUGACGAGGGCUGCCUGAAGAGGAGGGCAUCACCUAUUACAUCCGCUACUGCCCCAAGGACAACAGCUACCUGCAGGGGAUGGACUGCAACAGGCAGGGCUACUUGGCCCACCUAGAGAUGCCAUCUGGAGAUGGAUGAGUGCCAGGAGGUGGUGGAGGAGUGGACAGAGCCAGGGCCAGCGACUCCCCAGAGGUCUGCCCACUUGCCAAGUCUGGCCGUGGCCCCAGCAGACACAAGGGCAGGCCCAAGUUGCUGAACCUCCCUCGAGGCCAAGCACCCUGCCGAUGCCCAGAGGAGCUUCAAGACCAGGACCCAGGAAGAGAGGCCUAAGUGGCCCCAAGAGGAGGACAAGCAUUGCGGCAAGGGAGGCAGGUUCACCUGGUGAAUUGAUUCCAGGGCACAUGGAUCAGACAAAUGGCCAAUGGGCAGCAGGUGAGGUUGCUGCUGUGCUCUCCUUCCAGUCGACUCUCCCUCCUCAGCAGAGACCAGACCUGGCCUUCGUCUCCCAGCCCUCUGGCGUGUUUUCUCAACACCUCAGUGGAACAAGAAAGGACUGAGCCUGCCAGAACUAAGGACACUGGGCUGCACUCUGAGAAGUUCCUGGAUCUCCCCUGGACCUGACCAUCAUGUGGCCAGAGAAAUUGGUAACAUUGUUGUUUUGCCUGUUGAAAUGUUUAAUGACAUGGAUUCUUUCAGUUUCCUGAUGUGUGUGAAGUGUGGAGCCCAGUGAUGAUUUCUUCUUCAAGAAAUCUACAUUCUUGCUCCCCUAGGAGGGUGGGCCCCCUACCAACGGUGAGAGACCCUGCAUGUGUGUGACCUGUGCCUCCUGGGAGACCAGCCCUAAACUAGUUUGAACCUGACCAAGUUCUGUCUAUAUGGUAGAUUUAGACCUCUCCAAGUCUUGUCUACACUGAUGUUUAGACGAGAGCGUGUGCUUUCUGCAGUGAGGACAUUUAGGCCUGACCUUGUACUCUCUGCACUAGGUCGUAGAGACCUGGCCUGGCCUCUGUCCUGGAAAACUCUAUGCCUGCAUCUGAACGUCAAUGCUCAGGGGUCUGGAGCUGAGAUGGGCUUCUCUGGGUAACCGUGCUCUUCUCUGAGUGGGGUUCCAUGGCCCUCCCAGGGGUCAGUGUUGUGGUAGGGUUUGUAGUCUUUCUCCCUGCAAGAUUCACCUUCCCUGGGGCUCCUUGAGACUCCUCAGGUGGGCUGACUAGUAAUUUAUUCCAAUGUUCCAGCACAUUUAGGUUUAAUAGGGAGGCAGGUUCACCUGGCGAAUUGAUUCCAGGGCACAGGGAUCAGGCAAAAAGUCAAUGGGCAGCAGGUGAGGGUGCUGCUGUGACCUCCUUCCAGUCGACUCUCGCCUCCAAAGAGAACAGAGCUUCCCCUCAUCUUUCAGCCCAGCUCUCCUGUUUUCUCAGCACUUCAGCAGGACAAGAAAGACAGAGCCUGCCAGAACCAAGGUAGUGUGUUCACCUCUAGCAUGAGCUUUCAAACCAGUAAAAAAUCACGCAGAACCAAAGUGAAAAUAGGAGGGGCCUGACUUCUCAGGGACAAUUGUGGGGAGAGGAGAUGG